rnacentral:rRNA from 1 species
GACGAACGCUGGCGGCGUGCUUAACACAUGCAAGUCGAACGAUGAAGCGCUGUCUUUUUGGUGGUGUGGAUUAGUGGCGAACGGGUGAGUAAUACGCGGGCAACCUGCCCCUCUGCUUCGGGAUAAGCUUUGGAAACGGGGUCUAAUACCGGAUGUGCCUGUCUGGUCGCAUGGCUGGGCGGGGAAAGAUGUUUUUCGGCGGGGGAUGGGCUCGCGGCCUAUCAGCUUGUUGGUGGGGUGACGGCCUACCAAGGUGUCGACGGGUUGCCGGCCUGAUAUGGUGGUCGGUCACUCUAGGACUGAUAUACGGCCCAGACUCCUACGGGAGGCAGCCGUGGGGGAUAUUGCACUAUGGGCUCAACCCAUAUGCUCCCACGCCGCGUGGUGGGAUGGAGGAUUUGGGUUUUAUCCCUUUCGCACCGGGACAAGGCUCUCUUUGGCGGCGUUUGGGGGUAUGCCCUAAAAAACGCCGGGUUACCUUCCUGCUAUUUGUGCGGGUAAUACCCA